UACGGAGGGGGCAAGCGUUGUUCGGAAUCACUGGGCGUAAAGGGCGCGUAGGCGGCCAAUUAAGUCAGACGUGAAACCCCUCGGCUUAACCGGGGAACUGCAUUCGAUACUGGAUGGCUUGAGAUUGGGAGAGGGAUGCGGAAUUCCAGGUGUAGCGGUGAAAUGCGUAGAUAUCUGGAGGAACACCGGUGGCGAAGGCGGCAUCCUGGACCAACACUGACGCUGAGGGACGAAAGCCAGGGGAGCAAACGGG
rnacentral:rRNA from 1 species